GUGCCAGCAGCCGCGGUAAUACGAAGGGGGCUAGCGUUGCUCGGAAUUACUGGGCGUAAAGGGAGCGUAGGUGGACAGUUUAGUCAGAGGUGAAAGCCCAGGGCUCAACCUUGGUAUUGCCUUUGAUACUGGCUGUCUUGAGUACGGAAGAGGUAUGUGGAACUCCGAGUGUAGAGGUGAAAUUCGUAGAUAUUCGGAAGAACACCAGUGGCGAAGGCGACAUACUGGUCCGUUACUGACACUGAGGCUCGAAAGCGUGGGGAGCAAACAGGAUUAGAAACCCCUGUAGUCC
rnacentral:rRNA from 1 species